GGGGAAUUUUGCGCAAUGGGGGAAACCCUGACGCAGCAACGCCGCGUGGGUGAUGAAGGCCCUCGGGUCGUAAAGCCCUGUCGGGUGGGAAGAAGCCCUCGACGGUGAACAAUCGGCGAGGAUGACGGUACCACUAGAGGAAGCACCGGCUAACUCUGUGCCAGCAGCCGCGGUAAUACAGAGGGUGCAAGCGUUGUUCGGAAUCACUGGGCGUAAAGCGCGUGUAGGCGGCCGAUUGUGUCGAGUGUGAAAGCCCUCGGCUUAACCGAGGAAGUGCACUCGAAACUGGUCGGCUUGAGUACCGGAGAGGAAGGUGGAAUUCCCGGUGUAGAGGUGAAAUUCGUAGAUAUCGGGAGGAACACCAGUGGCGAAAGCGACCUUCUGGACGGAUACUGACGCUGAGACGCGAAAGCGUGGGGAGCAAAC
rnacentral:rRNA from 1 species